AUUCCAGCUCCAAUAGCGUAUAUUAAAGUUGUUGCAGUUAGAACGCUCGUAGUCGGAUUUCGGGGCGGGUCGACCGGUCUGCCGAUGGGUACGCACUGGCCGACGCGUCCUUCCUUCCGGAGACCGUGCCUACUCUUAACUGAGCGGGGUCGGGAGACGGAAUUUUUACUUUGAAAAAAUCAGAGUGUUUCAAGCAGGCAGCUCGCUCUUGCAUGGAUUAGCAUGGGAUAAUGAAAUAGGACUUUGGUGCUAUUUUGUUGGUUUCGAACACCGAAGUAAUGAUGAGAAGGGACAGUCAGGGGCACUCGUAUUCCGCCGAGAGAGGUGAAAUUCUCAGACCAGCGGAAGACGAACCACUGCGAAAGCAUUUGCCAGGGAUGUUUUCAUCA
rnacentral:rRNA from 1 species